rnacentral:rRNA from 1 species
CCCUUAGAUGUCCGGGGCCGCACGCGCGCUACACUGAAGGAAUCAGCGUGGCUUUCUCCCUGACCCGAAAGGGUUGGGAAACCCGUUGAAUCUCCUUCGUGAUAGGGAUUGGGGCUUGAAAUUGUUCCCCAUGAACGAGGAAUUCCCAGUAAGCGCGAGUCAUAAGCUCGCGUUGAUUACGUCCCUGCCCUUUGUACACACCGCCCGUCGCUACUACCGAUUGAACGGUUUAGUGAGGGCCUCGGACUGGUCUCGGCCCGCUCUUUACCGGGCGGCGCCGUUGGUCGAGAAGACGCUCGAACUUGAUCGUUUAGAGGAAGUAAAAGUCGUAACA